rnacentral:ribozyme from 14 species
CAAAGCACAGAACAAAAACUAGUGGGGAACAAAAGAAAAGAGAAGGAAGGAAAGAUAGAAACAGUUUUCGAUGUCUCUGAAUUUCAUCGUCGACUCUUUUGUGUUUU